UGGGGAAUUUUGGACAAUGGGCGCAAGCCUGAUCCAGCCAUGCCGCGUGCGGGAAGAAGGCCUUCGGGUUGUAAACCGCUUUUGUCAGGGAAGAAAUCUUCUGAGUUAAUACCUCGGGAGGAUGACGGUACCUGAAGAAUAAGCACGGCUAACUACGUGCCAGCAGCCGCGGUAAUACGUAGGGUGCAAGCGUUAAUCGGAAUUACUGGGCGUAAAGCGUGCGCAGGCGGUUUUGUAAGACAGAGGUGAAAUCCCCGGGCUCAACCUGGGAACUGCCUUUGUGACUGCAAGGCUUGAGUGCGGCAGAGGGGGAUGGAAUUCCGCGUGUAGCAGUGAAAUGCGUAGAUAUGCGGAGGAACACCGAUGGCGAAGGCAAUCCCCUGGGCCUGCACUGACGCUCAUGCACGAAAGCGU
rnacentral:rRNA from 1 species